rnacentral:rRNA from 2 species
CGAGUCUGAUGGAGCACGCCGCGUGAGUGAAGAAGGGUUUCGGCUCGUAAAACUCUGUUGUUAAAGAAGAACAUAUCUGAGAGUAACUGUUCAGGUAUUGACGGUAUUUAACCAGAAAGCCACGGCUAACUACGUGCCAGCAGCCGCGGUAAUACGUAGGUGGCAAGCGUUGUCCGGAUUUAUUGGGCGUAAAGCGAGCGCAGGCGGUUUUUUAAGUCUGAUGUGAAAGCCUUCGGCUCAACCGAAGAAGUGCAUCGGAAACUGGGAAACUUGAGUGCAGAAGAGGACAGUGGAACUCCAUGUGUAGCGGUGAAAUGCGUAGAUAUAUGGAAGAACACCAGUGGCGAAGGCGGCUGUCUGGUCUGUAACUGACGCUGAGGCUCGAAAGUAUGGGUAGCAAACAGGAUUAGAUACCCUGGUAGUCCAUACCGUAAACGAUGAAUGCUAAGUGUUGGAGGGUUUCCGCCCUUCAGUGCUGCAGCUAACGCAUUAAGCAUUCCGCCUGGGGAGUACGGCCGCAAGGCUGAAACUCAAAGGAAUUGACGGGGGCCCGCACAAGCGGUGGAGCAUGUGGUUUAAUUCGAAGCUACGCGAAGAACCUUACCAGGUCUUGACAUACUAUGCAAAUCUAAGAGAUUAGACGUUCCCUUCGGGGACAUGGAUACAGGUGGUGCAUGGUUGUCGUCAGCUCGUGUCGUGAGAUGUUGGGUUAAGUCCCGCAACGAGCGCAACCCUUAUUAUCAGUUGCCAGCAUUAAGUUGGGCACUCUGGUGAGACUGCCGGUGACAAACCGGAGGAAGGUGGGGAUGACGUCAAAUCAUCAUGCCCCUUAUGACCUGGGCUACACACGUGCUACAAUGGAUGGUACAACGAGUUGCGAACUCGCGAGAGUAAGCUAAUCUCUUAAAGCCAUUCUCAGUUCGGAUUGUAGGCUGCAACUCGCCUACAUGAAGUCGGAAUCG